rnacentral:rRNA from 1 species
GUGGGGAAUAUUGCACAAUGGGGGAAACCCUGAUGCAGCGACGCCGCGUGGAGGAUGAAGGCCUUCGGGUUGUAAACUCCUUUUGUAGGGGAAGAUAAUGACGGUACCCUGCGAAUAAGCCACGGCUAACUCUGUGCCAGCAGCCGCGGUAAGACAGAGGGGGCGAGCGUUGUUCGGAAUUACUGGGCGUAAAGGGCGCGUAGGCGGCCCGCUAAGUCAGACGUGAAAUCCCUCGGCUCAACCGAGGAACUGCGUCUGAGACUGGCGGGCUCGAAUCCGGGAGAGGGAUGCGGAAUUCCAGGUGUAGCGGUGAAAUGCGUAGAUAUCAGGAGGAACACCGGUGGCGAAGGCGGCUUCCUGGACCAAUACUGACGCUGAGGCGCGAAGGCGUGGGGAGCAAACAGGAUUAGAUACCCGUGUAGUCC